rnacentral:rRNA from 1 species
GUGGGGAAUCUUGCGCAAUGGGCGAAAGCCUGACGCAGCCAUGCCGCGUGAAUGAUGAAGGUCUUAGGAUUGUAAAAUUCUUUCACCGGGGACGAUAAUGACGGUACCCGGAGAAGAAGCCCCGGCUAACUUCGUGCCAGCAGCCGCGGUAAUACGAAGGGGGCUAGCGUUGCUCGGAAUUACUGGGCGUAAAGGGCGCGUAGGCGGACAGUUUAGUCAGAGGUGAAAGCCCAGGGCUCAACCUUGGAAUUGCCUUUGAUACUGGCUGUCUUGCGUACGGACGGGGUGAGUGGAAGGCCGAGUGUAGAGGUGAAAUUCGUAGAUAUUCGGAAGAACACCAGUGGCGAAGGCGACUCACUGGCCCGUUACUGACGCUGAGGCGCGAAAGCGUGGGGAGCAAACAGGAUUAGAAACCCGUGUGUCC